GGGGGCAUAGCUCAGUUGGGAGAGCAACAGACUGAAGUAAGAUGCCCUGAAGGCUGAGGUGCUUUCUGGAGGUCCCCAGUUCAAUCCUGGGUGCCCCCA